GACGAACGCUGGCGGCGUGCUUAACACAUGCAAGUCGAACGGAAAGGCCCCUUUGGGGGUACUCGAGUGGCGAACGGGUGAGUAACACGUGAGUAACCUGCCCUUGACUUCGGGAUAACUUCAGGAAACUGGGGCUAAUACCGGAUAGGAAUCCUUGCUGCAUGGUGGGGGUUGGAAAGCUUCGGCGGUUUUGGAUGGACUCGCGGCUUAUCGGCUUGUUGGUGGGGUAGUGGCUUACCAAGGCUUUGACGGGUAGCCGGCCUGAGAGGGCGACCGGCCACAUUGGGACUGAGAUACGGCCCAGACACCUACGGGAGGCAGCAGUGGGGAAUAUUGCACAAUGGGCGGAAGCCGGAUGCAGCAACGCCGCGGGCGGGAUGACGGCCUUCGGGUUGUAAACCGCUUUCAGCAGGGGCGAAGCUUGUGGUGACGGUACCUGCAGAAGAAGCACCGGCUAACUACGUG
rnacentral:rRNA from 1 species